rnacentral:tRNA from 1 species
GCGGGUUUAGCUCAGUUGGGAGAGCGUCAGACUGAAGUCAAACUUCGGGAUAUUGAUAUCUGAAGGUCAUGUGUUCGAUCCACAUAAACCGCA